rnacentral:rRNA from 1 species
AGCGAACGUUAGCGGCGCGCCUAACACAUGCAAGUCGAGCGAGAAUUGGGGCUUCGGCUCCAUAGUAAAGCGGCGCACGGGUGAGUAACACGUAGGUAAUCUGCCUCUUGGUUGGGGACAACCUUCCGAAAGGAGGGCUAAUACCGGAUAAGACCACGCUGACUUUGGUCAGAGGGGUUAAAGGUGGCCUCUUCAUGAAAGCUAUCGCCAAGAGAUGAGCCUGCGUCCCAUCAGCUAGUUGGUAAGGUAAUGGCUUACCAAGGCGAAGACGGGUAGCUGGUCUGAGAGGAUGAUCAGCCACACUGGAACUGAGACACGGCCCAGACUCCUACGGGAGGCAGCAGUGGGGAAUCUUGCGCAAUGGGCGAAAGCCUGACGCAGCAACGCCGCGUG